UACGUAGGGGUGCGAGCGUUUAAUCGGAAUUACUGGGCGUAAAGCGUGCGCAGGCGGUUCGCUAAGACCGGAUGUGAAAUCCCCGGGCUUAACCUGGGAACUGCAUUGGUGACUGGCGGGCUAGAGUAUGGCAGAGGGGGGUAGAAUUCCACGUGUAGCAGUGAAAUGCGUAGAGAUGUGGAGGAAUACCGAUGGCGAAGGCAGCCCCCUGGGCCAAUACUGACGCUCAUGCACGAAAGCGUGGGGAGCAAACAGG
rnacentral:rRNA from 1 species